rnacentral:rRNA from 1 species
UUGGAGGGCAAGUCUGGUGCCAGCAGCCGCGGUAAUUCCAGCUCCAAUAGCGUAUAUUAAAGUUGUUGCAGUUAAAAAGCUCGUAGUUGAAUUUCGGGAUUGGCGUGUCGGUCGUGCCUUACGGGGUAUGAACUGGCGUCGUCGAUUUCUCACCUUCUGGAGAAUCACGAUGCCCUUAAUUGGGUGUCGUGUGGAACCAGGACCUUUACCUUGAAGAAAUUAGAGUGUUUAAAGCAGGCAUUUUGCUCGAAUACAUUAGCAUGGAAUAAUAAAAUAGGACGGCUUGGUUCUAUUUUGUUGGUUUCUAGGAUCACCGUAAUGAUUAAUAGGGAUAGUUGGGGGCAUUAGUAUUCAAUUGUCAGAGGUGAAAUUCUUGGAUUUAUUGAAGACUAACUACUGCGAAAGCAUUUGCCAAGGAUGUUUUCAUUAAUCAAGAACGAAAGUUAGGGGAUCGAAGACGAUCAGAUACCGUCGUAGUCUUAACCAUAAACUAUGCCGACUAGGAAUCAGACGAUGUUAAUUUUUUAAUGAAUCGUUUGGCACCUUACGGGAAAC